GACGUAGAAUUACGAAGACCACAUACCAAGAGGAUAUUAUAUAUGGAUUUGUCUGAACAGCAAAACAAAUUGAGCCAGGUCAUGAAAACAGACAAUACAUUACUUGAUUACGUAACAUAAUUAAUAUGUACAAAUUGAUUAUUUAGUAGAAACAGACAAAACUUACUAUCAUCAUGUCAGACUUAAUCAAGAUUUGUAUAAUGUGGUCAAUAAAUCUACAAACGC
rnacentral:lncRNA from 1 species